rnacentral:rRNA from 1 species
AGUCGGGUGUGAUGCCCUCAGCUCAACUGAGGAAGUGCGCCCGAAACUAUCGUUCUUGAGUACCGGAGAGGGUGGCGGAAUUCCCGGUGUAGAGGUGAAAUUCGUAGAUAUCGGGAGGAACACCAGUGGCGAAGGCGGCCACCUGGACGUGUACUGACGCUGAGACGCGAAAGCGUGGGGAGCAAACAGGAUUAGAUACCCUGGUAGUCCACGCCGUAAACGAUGAGCGCUAGGUGUUGUGGGUAUUGACCCCUGCAGUGCCAAGGGCGAAUUCCACAGUGGAUA